UUUCAUUCAUGCCAGAAAUAUUUUCAUUUUUGUUUCCUACUUCCUCUCCACAGAACAAAGCCUAGGGAGGAUGAGUUCUGGGGCAGCGAACCAAAGGGUAUUCAUUUCACAUUUUCUCAUCUCCUUGUGAAGUUUCCACCUUUUCUGAGUUCAAUUUCCAUUAUGAAGGAUUUUCAGCUACAUCUCCUCCUUUCCACUAUUUUUGAACUCAUCCUCUAGAUGAACUUUGUUAUAUAAUCGUUUCUGUCUACGGUGGCUGUUUACAGCUAUUGUGUGAAUCUGAAGCUGUAGGUUACGCGCUGGGCUCUGUGGAGCAGACGUUAAGUUUUUGUCUUUUCCCUUUGGUUGGAUUGAAUAAGUGUUAAACAGAAGAAACAGUAAAGAUGCAGGCUUGAACACAUAUGUGAACAUAACUGUGGACAAAAGGCUGAAGGGCUGUUUCCCAGAGUUUCGCUCUGUAAAAUACUAUGUCUCUACAGGCUGAAGGGAAUAGGCUAAAAACAGCUGAUAAUAUUUUUGCUAUUAUCACUGGUACUUAAAUGGCAGAGAUGAGUUUUUCAGUGGAACAACCCUUCCCAAUAUGUCAAAUCAGUGGAACUGGAAAAAUUAAGGGCUCAGACUUGCAACAGUGAUAAGUUAACAUUUAUUUCCCUAAAUCUUCAGCCAUACCAGUAUCAAAGCAUCGUUGCUAUCACUCGUUUGGGAAGAAAUAAGUCUUAUGAAAAAAAAAAAAAAAAAAAGAAACAAAACUAUUAUCUGCUUUGAUAUUAUCUGCAUUGUCUUUUCUUGAAGAGUGUUGUGUGUUUUUAAAAGAGUCAGGUAUUCUGUUCCCAUUCCAGUGGGAUUCAAACAUAGUAUCCUGUCAAAAUCCCAGCCUAAAGCUUUGACUGAGGUCUUUCAGCCCCAAGAAGUUUGUCUGUCUGUUUUUGCCAUGAUUUCCAAGCCUUUUGACCAAUACAAAGAUAUUUAAGGGAGCUCUGGAAAUCUCUGUUAUUUAUGGUUCCAUAAUUUAAUGAAGAAGAGGGGUGCCUUACUGCCACUGCUAAUGCAGAAGGUGCAAGCACACAAGGUACUGCUGUCUGAGCUUGUCCUUUCUCACAAUGCAGUCAAUCCCACAUGAGUCUCAAAUCAACCAGAAAUGAGGGUUCACUCUUUCAGCUGCCGGUGAUACCACUGAUUCCCUGCUACAGCACGUUUGGCUUCAGCUCUGAGAGGGCUGGGCUAUGUGUUAAGAGGGUCUCCAGUCUGUUUUUUUAUUCUAGAUACUAGCUCUAUGGUUUCUUCUUCCAGCUGCAGGCACCAGAAAAUUCAAAGGUCUUUAGAAAUCAGACCCCAUUUUUGAGUUGUGUCAGUAAUAUAAUGGUCUGUUUAAAAGCAGUAUACGUGUCUGAGGCAGUGUAGUCUCCAUAGAGAGCUGGAAGCAAAAGCAUGCUUGGUAAAUGUAACCUGGUGCUCAGUUGAGUGUCUUCAUUUCAGGAAAGGAGGUAUUUCAAUGAAUAUCUUGCACAUCUUAAAGUAACACCAUGAUUCUAUGCUAAGUGUUCACUAUUUUGUUUCUAAUUAGUAGUAGUACCUUCUUAGAAUAGAAAUAAAAAUUCCUGACCUACUGGAUUUAUUGCUAUCAAUUUAGGUAGGUUGCAUACUGUUCUUUCUGGAGCCAGUAGUGCUAAACAGGAAGAUCUUAUUCAUGUUUCUUCAGGAUAUUGUAAACAGAUAUGUAAAUACUUAUAAAGCUAUAAAUUACUCUUACCUGUAUAACCACAGUUCAUCUUGGGAUUAGUCUGUAGAAACAAAAGUGUAAAGCACACAUCUCUGAUUCAUCUGCCAAGUAUGUUGGUAAAGCCAUCCAUUUGUUGUGAAAUUCUUCUGGUUACGUGGUUCAGCUUGUACAUGCAGUUUCCUCAUCUGUGCACACACUUAUCAGAUCUGUGUGGACAAAACAGAUGUUUGCACAGUCUUUACGGAGAGUUCAUCUGUAUGUUUUCCUUAUUGCUAUGAUCAAAAUGUCAAGACGGACAGUCAACUUUUCACGUGUACACACUGUUCCAGGGUUUGACAACAUUAUCAGUGGGAGCAUAUAAUCAUCUGCACCAUCAUGUUUUGUUUUCUGUAGGCUUCUGUGUUGUGUAGCCCUUAGGUAUAUCUUCUUCAGUGCACAUCUGUUAAGUAUGUAAAAGUCAAGUAUGUGGCCAUGUUCUCUACACUGUGUUUUCUAAUUCAGACUCCCAGACUAAGCCUGUAACAACAAGCUGUAUUCUGUCUCCUGAUAGAACAAAAGCCACUAUUUGCUGCAAAUACAUUUGUUUGUCUUUAUUGAAGGUGGUAAACUUGCGGCCAACAUGAAAAUUAUCUCACCAUUGAAAGAACUCUGUGAAUUCAAAACUCUCAUGAUGUGUGUUUUAGCUGGAAUGACAAGUGGAAAGAAUGCAAUGAGCUUAAACACCUGGUAGAUGUUGGUUCUUCAAAUAAUAUGAAGGUUAUGUAUGCUGUGCUCCAAGAUGUCAGUUUUGACCUGAACUUUGAAGAAUUUUUCAGAACUCCAUAUAACAUGAAAGUCUGUUAUUUCAGUUUGUCCCUCCAGGUCUGCACUCUUCCAUCCCAGAUCCAUCCUUCUGUACUAAUCUUUUCUAUUAGGAGGGACACCUUGUUCAUAUCUCCUCCUCCUCACUCCCCUUCUCCAGCCUCCUCCACUGCCCUUGCCCUCAGAUCACAAAUCAUGUUUCCAUAAGAAGUGUGUACUCUGGUCAUUUAUUCUGCUACUCGUGUCCCGUGUUUUCCUGAGAAGGCCUACAUUUGUGUCCCUCACCUUCCACUUCCUUGGUACCUUUAUUUUGGAAAGUAAGAUGUUUGUGAGGAGAUGCAACUGUAAGCUCUAUUGGGAAGAUGGAAUGGGAAAUUAUGAGGGAGCGAUACUGUUAUUUCAGAAAGUGUUAAUGAAUGCUGUCAGCCAAACCUUUGACUUAAAAGAGAGGGUGGGAGCAACAAGCAAGUGAUGAAGGCUCGAUGUGUUCUCCAUUACUGUCAUUCUCAUUUUCCUUGGCUGGGAGCAUCUGGAAUAGUCUCCAACACUUUUAACUGAGUAAAUGCAGCAUUCCCAAGCUGUUGUGUGACAGACAAACAGAUGAACCUACAAAGAAAUGCCAUGAAGUUGGCUGUGUGGAUUCACAAGCUCAUUCAAUUAUUCAUGACUAGAAAAAUAAUGUUAUAUAAAUGGUCAAGAUUUUUUGAGGGAGGAGCCUGGUAGGAAAGACACCAAAGACUAAAUUUGCAUUGCAUCCCAUGGAUUCGCUACAUUUUUCCCACUACAGAAUGCAAACUAGACAUUGGCUAUGAAUGUAGAGGCUGGUCACUUCUUACAGUGAAAAAGAAAGCCAGAAUUUUGCAACCCAAACAGGAAACACAAUGAGCCAGGGAGAAGAAUGGAGCAUGCUUAUCUGGUUGUUUCAGAGUCUUCUGGGAGGAAGGAACGGGCAAGCAGGUGAGACAGAGCCUCACCUAUCCCAGUGUGUGAUGAUGAGCAGUGGGUAUUUUGACAAAAAGAUAAGGACAGCUUUCCCAUUACAUCCCUCUGACUUCUGGCAAA